UAUCGAAUCGAUUAUAAAUUAAGCUAGUAGAAAAUUUUUGUGGGCACCUAACCUUAUCUGUUUCUAGGUUUCUCGAAAAUAAAGACACCUGCUUUAGCGCUCUGCAUGAAUCCGCUGAUGUCAGCCGACUCUCCUAGAACCCACUUUCCACCUCUAGAAGGAAAUCUCUCGCUUCGUGCGAUCAUCUCAAACUCUCUCUCUUUUUGCCCUUUUUGCUCCUGAAAAUGCGCUUGUCAUCCUCCAUUGCUACGAUCUCCAAGCUCAUGAUCUCUGACAGAGGCCGCAGAAAACUCCUCCUAGCUUAUCUUACCUCGUGACUGAAGUUACGUUCGUUAGCAUAUGCCAUCCUUCAACGAGAAUGGCCGAAUGCUUGGUGUGUCUCAUCUGCUCUUGCAUGGGUCUGAUGCGGUUCGAUAGGAUAAAUUGUUGAAGGUAUGGCGCUUUCCCCCUGCUAUGGUUUGUAUUUCUGUCUGAACGAAGCAGCUAACACUAUCAACUUGUUCUUUUUCCACGAGUCUCGUGAUAUGACUGGUAACCAUUGGCAUGUCCUUUCAUAUAAUACCGUGUGUGCACCAAGGAAUAGAGCAAACCUACGAAAAAUUCGCGGGUGUUCCCAGAACUUGUAAAGCCCAACUCACAUGCAUCACUAGAUAAGAUGCACUCACAUGGUUUAUUCAUGCAUGUAAGCCGGAGCAUGCAAUACUAGCUUCCCAGAUAUGUACAGAUGUUCUUCAGCUCAGCUUCUGGUUCUAUCUAGGGCUUGUCCUCUUGCCAUCUGAUAAUAAAAGGCAAGAUGGAUCAUAGUGGCAUUAAACAGACAUUGAGGACAUGGAUCUGCCCGGUCUUGAUGGCAGGCAUCUAUGCAAUAUAUUCAUAGUAUAUGGAGACAUGGCACUACCGGAUUCAGCUUGGGGAGAACUAGAAUUGUAGAUUCGACCAAUGUAUGUUAACAUGAGAGAGAGCUCACCUAGUUGAGGACAUCAUAUUCUAGUUGGGUGAAGAUGAGGAUAAUCUAUUUCAUCCAAUGGUAAGAUUUAUGGACUGUUCGGGUGUCCCCAAGUAGAAACUCUCUUACUUUUGCCUCCGAAAAGUCUGGAGUCUGUUUUCGCUCAAAGAAGGCAUGUUGAAUUAUGUUUUACAUGUA